UUCUUGCCUUACUGCAUUCUCCUGCCAGACACUCAAGUGACUACUGAAAUAUGAAGUUACAACAGAACCAGAGAAAAUACUUUGUCAAAGUGCAAUAGAUUCUGAAAGAAUUUUUUUCAAGAGUUCUGUUGCAGGAAAGUUGAAAGAUUGAGGCUAACAGUGGAGACCAUACAGGCCACAGAGCUCACAUCUGAAGGCAUCACAGAGAACAAGAGGGACACAUCAGGAUUAUUACCCCUAGUAUGUCUUAUAUAAACUCCAUA
rnacentral:lncRNA from 1 species